CGUGAAUGGUUGUAUGAGAUCUUGCAAGUCUGAAUUUCCUCGCAUGUGAAGGGCUGUAUGAGGUCUUGCAAAUCUUCAGAUUUGACCUCUACUCUGAAUACAUUUUCACCUCUACGCUGAUUAAUUUACUCGGCUUGAUAGGAAGCUAGCCAGAUCCCAUACUUUAUCAAGCCAUAUGUUGUUGUAAAAUUGAAGGAGGUAAGAAAACACUAUCAAUAUUCGCCGAAUUAGCUCAUGAGACAAUUUGUUUUGCCUUAAUGACAGAAAGGUUUUUUUUUCUUGGUUUAAACCGACAGAAAAGAGAGGCAGGCAUACUUUUCUAACAGGUAAGAACCUAAAAUUUUUACAUUAAAAGUUUAUAGACACUCAUGUUCAGGUUGGUACUAGGUGCAGCAGACGAAGAGACUAAUUAAGCUGAUUUGAAUAGAGAACGUGUCUGAUGUAAGUGUUAUAUAUUUGAAUCUUCUUUUAGCAAACUCAUACUUCUGUCGUUCCUUAAAUUUCUCUACGGGAGUUCCUUAAAUGAUAUUGUUACAUUUACCGUGCGCGAAUGUCACUGGAACAUUUUAAGAAAGCACAAUUUAGAAGAGUAUGCAACUUCAUAUGCCUAAACUUUCAUUUUGAGCAGCAGCAGCAGCAGUGGGGAUCUAUUGACUAUUUAUAAAUGGGUAGCUAGACAAUCACUCGUAAAGAUGAUUUGAUAAUUUGGGGGCUCCAAUGGGCAAAAGAAAUUGUUAGCUGCAGCUGCGCAAUUUGGCAUUGGAGUAGAUACUUAAUGAUUUAAGCUAACUUGAUGGUUCAAGAAGUUAACUUUGAUCCUACAUGCUGUGUAUUCAAUCUUGAAAUGAAAUUGUUACAUUUACCAAGAUCAUAGCAUAGCCCAUCUGACAGAAUUUCUUAUCAUUUUUUUAAACGAAAUGAAAGGUUUCUUAUCAUAGCCAUUCUGAAAAACCGAACACCUUGUUUCUAUUUCAAUCAUAAGAAGCAUUGUACGAAACAGAAAGGAAAUGCAAAGAAUGGAACAAAAAAACUGCAAACUAUGGCACAACAUGUUCAAAAAAACUGCAAACUAAUUUGUUCCACAGGAGAUGUACUGGAAUAGUCGAGGUAGAAUUGACAAUUCUAAAUUCAAAACACUUUCUUUCUUUGCUGUUGGGCUGCAAACAACACCAGGGCUACCCUGCAUUAUGUUUCCCUGUGGUAUUCAAUAAAAAUUUGUCAGGAAUGGAUUUUUUUAUUACUUUGAUUUGAGUUGGGCUUUUUGGUAUUCAAUAAAAAUUUGUGCUCUUCGUUUUGCUCAUUCAGGUCCAGAAUAAAGGUCAGCAAGUAAACAGCAGCGAAGCUCUGGUAAAUUUUCAUUAUUCUAAGUUCAUUGAGUCUCGAAUUUUCUCCAUUUAAGAUGAUUUCAUGAGAAAUCUGUAUGCAUCUCCAUUUAGGAUGAUUUCAUGAGAAAUCUCCAUUCAGUAAAUGUUAAUUAGGUUUUAUCUAUUCUCAACACAAAUAAGUGAUGAUCAGGUGUACUUUUUGUUGUUAUUAGCAGAUGCUGAAAACGUAUAGUUUUGAUUAUGAUCUUGACAUCUUGCUGAAUGAGAAAUGCGAUAGUUGUAUAGAUUGUUUCUUAAACUACAUACUCUCAGUAUCUGACUAUAGUUCUUUCUUGUUUGAGGAUAUAUCCUUCUCAUGUCACCUUCAUCAGAGGUAACUGCUCGUACAAAACUUUAGUAAAAACAACAACGAGUAGACUUGACAAUUCUAUUUGCCAUCUCUUUGAUGAUGCUUGAUGCAAUCAUGCAACAUAUCCGCAAGGCUCUUGUGUACCAUUGUAUUCACAAUUGACUGGACAAUGUCACCUUCCAUGAUUUAAUUUGGCAUCUCUCACUCAGUACCGGAUGAACAAGUUUUUCAUUACAAAUAGUGCAUCUCCCUGCUUUCGAUAAUUCACUCCUCACACCAUACCCUGUCCUCCAGAACUUACCAACAUACGUAAAAGGAAGUAUGUAUUGUCAUUCCUAACAAUUAGGGCCGUAUCGAACCUCUGUACCUAGCCCAACUUAUUUUUUAAAACACUGUAGCCUAAGUUCAAUAUUUGGAUUGGUGGGAAGUAAAAUAAUAUUGUAUGUGUGUGAGAUUUAUGAUCACUGCAAUGUAGGGUAGGGGUGCUAGAAUUAGGAUCCAUUGCAACACACGGGCAUUGAACUAAUUUAUUUGAACUUCUGUCUGACUGUUUGAACUGACGGUUGGACAAGCAAAUCAGCCACUUGAUCUGUUGACCCACAUAUCUGAUUUCUAAAAAAGAAACAUUAUGUAAUUUUGCACGAUUCACUUCAACAUGUAUUUAACCACAUUUACCAUUAUUUUUAAUAUCUCAGCAGUUACUGUGCUUUCAUUUGGCUUGUGUCAAAAUUGUAUUUGUGCACUGCUUCAUUACUUUCUUUCAUUUCUCUCUUAAAAGGUGAUAUUGUUCUGAAGGACUUAAAACUCAAGGUUGAAGCACUGAAUUCUCUCAGUAACAAUGAAAGCUGGGUUUGUUGGCACCAUAACGUUAAAGAUGGCGUCUUUGAAACGAGGCGGGGGUCGUGCUCCAUUCAAAGACCUAACCAACACCACGGACACAAAUGUGCUAAACAAUAGCAAUGUUGGUGGAUCCAUGACAUCCAGUGCACAACCACCACUCCUAGAUCCUAGAGAACGUAAGAGGCAAAAGGAGAGGGACCGAUAUGCGCAGCAUAAAGAUGAAAUACUAAAAAAGCGUCAUGAAGCCUGAAAGCAAAAGAAAGCUGCAUUAGCCCAUCUAAAUGUCAAACACUAUCAAUCAAAUACUCUUUCAAAUGAUCAAAUAGGAUCAGGACAAUCCGCGCUCCCCGAAUUAGGAUACACGCCAAGUGCAAAAGGCAUCCCCAAUGUUGGCGUGAAGUCAAAAAUUUUAGAGCGACCCACAACAUGCAACAAGGAAAACAGUCCUCCUGGUGAGAGUACUAAUUGGCUGUGGAGAAAUGAUACGUACCAUAGGCAAGAAGUUCUUAUACCAUAUCAAAGCCAAGAAAGCAUCAUGACCAGUAUUCUGGCAACAAAUUCCCUUAUUC